AUUGAACGCUGGCGGCAUGCUUUACACAUGCAAGUCGAACGGUAACAGGCCGCAAGGUGCUGACGAGUGGCGAACGGGUGAGUAAUGCAUCGGAACGUGCCCAGUCGUGGGGGAUAACGCAGCGAAAGCUGUGCUAAUACCGCAUACGAUCUGUAGAUGAAAGCGGGGGACCGAAAGGCCUCGCGCGAUUGGAGCGGCCGAUGUCAGAUUAGGUAGUUGGUGGGGUAAAGGCUCACCAAGCCAACGAUCUGUAGCUGGUCUGAGAGGACGACCAGCCACACUGGGACUGAGACACGGCCCAGACUCCUACGGGAGGCAGCAGUGGGGAAUUUUGGACAAUGGGCGCAAGCCUGAUCCAGCAAUGCCGCGUGCAGGAAGAAGGCCUUCGGGUUGUAAACUGCUUUUGUACGGAGCGAAAAGGCUCUCUCUAAUACAGGGGGCUCAUGACGGUACCGUAAGAAUAAGCACCGGCUAACUACGUGCCAGCCGCCGCCGUAACAC
rnacentral:rRNA from 1 species